CAGUCGCCACGGUAACACGUAGGGCGCAAGCGUUGUCCGGAAUUAUUGGGCGUAAAGAGCUCGUAGGCGGUCUGUCGCGUCUGGUGUGAAAUCCCGAGGCUCAACCUCGGGCUUGCAUCGGGUACGGGCAGACUAGAGUGCGGUAGGGGAGACUGGAAUUCCUGGUGUAGCGGUGGAAUGCGCAGAUAUCAGGAGGAACACCGAUGGCGAAGGCAGGUCUCUGGGCCGCAACUGACGCUGAGGAGCGAAAGCAUGGGGAGCGAACAGGAUUAGAUACCCCAGUAGUCCCUGUCUCUUAUAC
rnacentral:rRNA from 1 species